rnacentral:rRNA from 1 species
GAUGAACGCUGGCGGCGUGCCUAAUACAUGCAAGUCGAGCGAACAGACGAGGAGCUUGCUCCUCUGACGUUAGCGGCGGACGGGUGAGUAACACGUGGAUAACCUACCUAUAAGACUGGGAUAACUUCGGGAAACCGGAGCUAAUACCGGAUAAUAUGUUGAACCGCAUGGUUCAACAGUGAAAGACGGUCUUGCUGUCACUUAUAGAUGGAUCCGCGCCGCAUUAGCUAGUUGGUAAGGUAACGGCUUACCAAGGCAACGAUGCGUAGCCGACCUGAGAGGGUGAUCGGCCACACUGGAACUGAGACACGGUCCAGACUCCUACGGGAGGCAGCAGUAGGGAAUCUUCCGCAAUGGGCGAAAGCCUGACGGAGCAACGCCGCGUGAGUGAUGAAGGUCUUCGGAUCGUAAAACUCUGUUAUUAGGGAAGAGCAAAUGUGUAAGUAACUAUGCACGUCUUGACGGUACCUAAUCAGAAAGCCACGGCUAACUACGUG